rnacentral:lncRNA from 1 species
AAUGGAAGAAACUCUAGAAAAGAUGAUUGAAUCAGUUCUAUCUAUAUGUUUCAAUUUAAAUCCUAACUUGAUAAAGAACCAGAAGAUUUUUCUUAUUAAUUUUUUUAUAGGAUUUGUUUUGAAAUUGUCUAAUUGAAUUGAUAUGAGAAUUAAGAUUUGAUUUAUAUUGGAUUAUAGUAAAGCUAUAUGAUGAUUUUAAAAUAUGAUAUUGGAUAUA